UUACUUACCUGGCAGGGGAGAUACCGUGAUCACAAAGGAGGUUUUCCCAGAUGAGGCUCAUCCAUUGCACUCUGGGAAUGGUGACCCCUGCGAUUUCCCCAAGUGCGGAAAUCUCUACUGCAUAAUUUGUGGUAUGUGGUUCCUUCAGCAAAGGAACUUC